UGCGGUAUGAUGUUACUUUAAAAUAUUUGCUACUUCAGAGGGCUCAGCCCAAUGAGACUACAUUUUCCACCAAGAUCUCUGACUUUGCA
rnacentral:snoRNA from 1 species